rnacentral:ncRNA from 2 species
GCAAGAUCAUUUCCCGAUAGGCGACGGCGAACCGAGGAAGCCGGUGUGAAUCCGGCGCGGUCCCGCCACUGUGAUCGGGCGGUCGAUGCGAUGCGGCCCGAGAGCCAGACACUCCUCAUCGUCGCCUCCUCACG